GACGAACGCUGGCGGCGUGCCUAAUACAUGCAAGUGGGACGCAAGGGAACACACUGUGCUUGCACACCGUGUUUUCUUGAGUCGCGAACGGGUGAGUAACGCGUAGGUAACCUGCCUAUUAGCGGGGGAUAACUAUUGGAAACGAUAGCUAAUACCGCAUAAUAUUAAUUAUUGCAUGAUAAUUGAUUGAAAGAUGCAAGCGCAUCACUAGUAGAUGGACCUGCGUUGUAUUAGCUAGUUGGUAAGGUAAGAGCUUACCAAGGCGACGAUACAUAGCCGACCUGAGAGGGUGAUCGGCCACACUGGGACUGAGACACGGCCCAGACUCCUACGGGAGGCAGCAGUAGGGAAUCUUCGGCAAUGGACGAAAGUCUGACCGAGCAACGCCGCGUGAGUGAAGAAGGUUUUCGGAUCGUAAAGCUCUGUUGUAAGUCAAGAACGUGUGUGAGAGUG
rnacentral:rRNA from 1 species